UAGGGAAUCUUCGGCAAUGGACGAAGUCUGACCGAGCAACGCCGCGUGAGUGAAGAAGGUUUUCGGAUCGUAAAACUCUGUUGGUAGAGAAGAACGUUGGUGAGAGUGGAAAGCUCAUCAAGUGACGGUAACUACCCAGAAAGGGACGGCUAACUACGUGCCAC
rnacentral:rRNA from 1 species